AUUGAACGCUGGCGGCAGGCCUAACACAUGCAAGUCGAACGAGUGGCGGACGGGUGAGUAAUGUCUGGGAAACUGCCCGAUGGAGGGGGAUAACUACUGGAAACGGUAGCUAAUACCGCAUACCAUCGGAUGUGCCCAGCUGGGAUUAGCUAGUAGGUGGGGUAACGGCUAACCUCGGCGACGAUCCCUAGCUGGUCUGAGAGGAUGACCAGCCACACUGGAACGUGGACACGGUCCAGACUCCUACGGGAGGCAGCAGUGGGGAAUAUUGCACAAUGGGGGCAAGCCUGAUGCAGCCAUGCCGCGUGUAUGAAGAAGGCCUGCGGGUUGUAAAGUACUUUCAGCGAGGAGGCGUUACUCGCAGAAGAAGCACCGGCUAACUCCGUGCCAGCAGCCGCGGUAAUUG
rnacentral:rRNA from 1 species